rnacentral:rRNA from 1 species
CGGUUGAUCCUGCCGGACCCUACUGCUAUCGGGGUGGGACUAAGACAUGCGAGUUGAGCGUCUCUAAAGCUUGGUGAGACGCGGCAGACGGCUCAGUAACGCGCGGCCAACCUACCCUUAGGACGCGGACAACCCCGGGAAACUGGGGCUAGUCCGCUAUAGACUAGGAAGCCAGGAAUGGUUCCUAGUCGAAAAGACGUUGAAACCCAUGCUUUUCGACGUCGCCUAAGGAUGGGGCCGCGCCCGAUCAGGUUGUUGGUGAGGUAACGGCUCACCAAGCCUAUAACCGGUACGGGCCGUGAGAGCGGGAGCCCGGAGAUGGGCACUGAGACAAGGGCCCAGGCCCUACGGGGCGCAGCAGUCGCGAAAACUCCGCAAUGCGCGAAAGCGUGACGGGGCUACCCCGAGUGCCGUCCGCUGAGGAUGGCUUUUCCCCGGUGUAAUGAGCCGGGGGAAUAAGGAGAGGGCAAGUCUGGUGUCAGCCGCCGCGGUAAUACCAGCUCUCCGAGUGGUAGGGAUGAUUAUUGGGCUUAAAGCGUCCGUAGCCGGCUUAGCAAGUCUCCUGUUAAAUUCAGCGACCUAAUCGUUGAGCCGCGGGAGAUACUGCUAGGCUAGGAGGCGGGAGAGGCCGACGGUAUUCUCGGGGUAGGGGUGAAAUCCUAUAAUCCCGGGAGGACCACCAGUGGCGAAGGCUGUCGGCUAGAACGCGCUCGACGGUGAGGGACGAAAGCUGGGGGAGCGAACCGGAUUAGAUACCCGGGUAGUCCCAGCUGUAAACGAUGCGGGCUAGGUGUUGGGGUGGCUACGAGCCACUUCAGUGCCGCAGGGAAGCCAUUAAGCCCGCCGCCUGGGGAGUACGGCCGCAAGGCUGAAACUUAAAGGAAUUGGCGGGGGAGCAC